AGAGUUUGAUCCUGGCUCAGAAUCAACGCUGGCGGCGUGCCUAACACAUGCAAGUCGAACGCGAAAGCCCCGCAAGGGGUAAGUAGAGUGGCAAACGGGUGAGUAACACGUGGGUGACCUGCCUUCGAGUGGGGGAUAACGUCCCGAAAGGGACGCUAAUACCGCAUGACAUCCUGCUCUUGAACGAGUGGAGAUCAAAGCUGGGGAUCGCAAGACCUAGCGCUCAAAGAGGGGCCCGCGCCUGAUUAGCUAGUUGGUGGGGUAACGGCUCACCAAGGCGACGAUCAGUAUCCGGCCUGAGAGGGCGGACGGACACACUGGGACUGAGACACGGCCCAGACUCCUACGGGAGGCAGCAGUGGGGAAUUGUUCGCAAUGGGCGCAAGCCUGACGACGCAACGCCGCGUGGAGGAUGAAGAUCUUCGGGUCGUAAACUCCUUUCGAUCGAGACGAACGGCUCCCGGGUGAACAAUCCGGGAGAGUGACGGUACCGAGAGAAGAAGCCCCGGCUAACUCCGUGCCAGCAGCCGCGGUAAUACGGGGGGGGCAAGCGUUGUUCGGAAUUACUGGGCGUAAAGGGCUCGUAGGCGGCCAACUAAGUCAGACGUGAAAUCCCUCGGCUUAACCGGGGAACUGCGUCUGAUACUGGAUGGCUCGAGCGUGGGAGAGGGAUGCGGAAUUCCAGGUGUAGCGGUGAAAUGCGUAGAUAUCUGGAGGAACACCGGUGGCGAAGGCGGCAUCCUGGACCACGACUGACGCUGAUGAGCGAAAGCCAGGGGAGCAAACGGGAUUAGAUACCCCGGUAGUCCUGGCCCUAAACGAUGAAUGCUUGGUGUGGCGGGUAUCGAUCCCUGCCGUGCCGAAGCUAACGCAUUAAGCAUUCCGCCUGGGGAGUACGGUCGCAAGGCUGAAACUCAAA
rnacentral:rRNA from 1 species